rnacentral:rRNA from 1 species
AGAGUUUGAUCCUGGCUCAGGAUGAACGCUAGCGGCAGGCUUAACACAUGCAAGUCGAGGGGCAGCAUAAUGGAUAGCAAUAUCUAUGGUGGCGACCGGCGCACGGGUGCGUAACGCGUAUGCAACCUACCUUUAACAGGGGGAUAACACUGAGAAAUUGGUACUAAUACCCCAUAAUAUCAUAGAAGGCAUCUUUUAUGGUUGAAAAUUCCGAUGGUUAGAGAUGGGCAUGCGUUGUAUUAGCUAGUUGGUGAGGUAACGGCUCACCAAGGCGACGAUACAUAGGGGGACUGAGAGGUUAACCCCCCACAUUGGUACUGAGACACGGACCAAACUCCUACGGGAGGCAGCAGUGAGGAAUAUUGGUCAAUGGACGCAAGUCUGAACCAGCCAUGCCGCGUGCAGGAAGACGGCUCUAUGAGUUGUAAACUGCUUUUGUACGAGAGUAAACGCUCUUACGUGUAAGAGCCUGAAAGUAUCGUACGAAUAAGGAUCGGCUAACUCCGUGCCAGCAGCCGCGGUAAUACGGAGGAUCCAAGCGUUAUCCGGAUUUAUUGGGUUUAAAGGGUGCGUAGGCGGUUUGAUAAGUUAGAGGUGAAAUACCGGUGCUUAACACCGGAACUGCCUCUAAUACUGUUGAACUAGAGAGUAGUUGCGGUAGGCGGAAUGUAUGGUGUAGCGGUGAAAUGCUUAGAGAUCAUACAGAACACCGAUUGCGAAGGCAGCUUACCAAACUAUAUCUGACGUUGAGGCACGAAAGCGUGGGGAGCAAACAGGAUUAGAUACCCUGGUAGUCCACGCAGUAAACGAUGAUAACUCGCUGUCGGCGAUACACAGUCGGCGGCUAAGCGAAAGCGAUAAGUUAUCCACCUGGGGAGUACGUUCGCAAGAAUGAAACUCAAAGGAAUUGACGGGGGCCCGCACAAGCGGAGGAACAUGUG